GUAAUAGCUCACUGGUCGAGUGAAGUUGCGCGGAAAAUUACCGGGGCUAAGUUAUACACCGAAAUUGCGGAUUCAUUAAGAAAUUAAUGAGUGGUAGAGGAGCGUUCUAUACAGGAUGAAGUAUGAUCGAGAGGACAUAUGGACAGUAUAGAAGAGAGAAUGCCGGAAUGAGUAGCGAGAGCAAAGUGAGAAUCUUUGCCGUCGAAAAUCUAAGGUUUCCUGGGGAAGGUUCGUCCGCCCAGGGUAAGUCGGGACCUAAGGUGAGGCCGAAGGGCGUAGCCGAUGGACAGCAGGUUAAGAUUCCUGCACCAGUAUACAUGUAUAAUGCAUAAGAGGACACAUUUGAAGAAGGUGAGCGAGGAAGAGGAAAAACUCGUAUGGCAACAUAUAGUGAAAUAAAGUAACGAAUCAUCAAGAGGCGAGUGGCGAGAAAAGUCUUAUGUAGUUGUGUAGACUGCCCGUACCGCAAACCGACACAGGUAGAUGAGGAGAGGAUCCUAAGACGAGCGGGAGAAGCAUUGUUAAGGAACUCGGCAAAUUGACCCCGUAACUUAGGGAUAAGGGGUGCUGGUGUAAAAACCAGUCGCAGUAAAUAGGCCCAAGCAACUGUUUAACAAAAACACAGGUUUCUGCUAAAUCGCAAGAUGAAGUAUAGGAGCUGACUCCUGCCCAGUGCUGGAAGGUUAAGGGGAAAGGUUAGGAAUAAUUCAUUAUAUCCGAAGCUUUGAACUCAAGCCCCAGUGAACGGCGGCCGUAACUAUAACGGUCCUAAGGUAGCGAAAUUCCUUGUCAGGUAAGUUCUGACCCGCACGAAAGGUGUAAUGAUUUGGGCACUGUCUCAACAAUGUACCCGGCGAAAUUGUAGUACUAGUGAAGAUGCUAGUUACCUGCGACAAGACGGAAAGACCCCAUGGAGCUUUACUAUAGCCUGAUAUUGGGCUUUGGUAUCUUAUGUACAGGAUAGGUGGGAGACGAAGAGAUUAAGACGCUAGUCUUAAAGGAGUCAACCUUGGAAUACCACCCUUAAGAUAUUAGAGUUCUAACUUGUGAUCAUAAACUGGUCAGAGGACAUUGUCAGGUGGGUAGUUUGACUGGGGCGGUCUCCUCCUAAAGAGUAACGGAGGUGCGCAAAGGUUUCCUCGGCACGGUCAGAAAUCGUGCUAUUGAGUGUAAAGGCAUAAGGAAGCUUAACUGAGAGAGAGACAUCUCGAGCAGAUACGAAAGUAGGUCUUAGUGAUCCGGUGGUAGAAAAUGGAAUUGCCAUCGCUCAACGGAUAAAAGUUACCCUGGGGAUAACAGGCUUAUCUCCCCCAAGAGUUCACAUCGACGGG
rnacentral:rRNA from 1 species